CCCCCCCCCGUUCCUACGACCCUGAACUCGACAAGAUCACGUCAUUUCGUUACCAGUCUCAUGCUUAAACAACUAUAGGGAGCCACCUUAAACAUACAGUAGUUACUAGUUCAAGUGCACUCUUCCCAUCAGCCCCUUCGCCAUCUCUCCCUACUACAAUACUUCAUGUAUACACAUCAUAUGGGCAUCACUGUUUUUUUACAAUUAGAGAUGCCUGGGUACGAGGCAGACUGUUUUGCCAUAUUUCAGUUUUUGCCAUAUUGUCUGAUAGAGUGGCAGCUAUUAAGGACUUAAAGCCGCAUGUGCUAGGCUGAGUAUGAAUACAAUCAUUGACAAUGUCGAUUAUAACGGUCGGCAAUCGGCUAUUUGCCGUUCAAGUGUUCAACAACAACACUAAAUGGUCGAUUAAUUAUUUUGCACCGAUAUUCUACUGAUUAUUUUUUUAACCUAGUCCUGGUCUCACAAUAUGAUAUAUCAAAAUAGCUGCGGUUUAAGGAGCACUAUAUACUAGGCGAUAUGUAAUUUGGAAAUGGUUAUCAAAUCAAGUCAAGAAUACACGUUGUAUAUAGCUAGUCAAGAAUACAGGUUGUAUAAAAAAGUG